rnacentral:rRNA from 1 species
UACGAAGGGGGCUAGCGUUGCUCGGAAUCACUGGGCGUAAAGGGUGCGUAGGCGGGUCUUUAAGUCAGGGGUGAAAUCCUGGAGCUCAACUCCAGAACUGCCUUUGAUACUGAAGAUCUUGAGUUCGGGAGAGGUGAGUGGAACUGCGAGUGUAGAGGUGAAAUUCGUAGAUAUUCGCAAGAACACCAGUGGCGAAGGCGGCUCACUGGCCCGAUACUGACGCUGAGUGCGCGAAAGCCAGGGGAGCAAACGGG